AGCAUCUUUACUUGGCCUGGGUUUGCACCCAAUUUCUGGACAUUUUAUAGCUGAGCAUUACAUGUUCUUAAAGGGUCAUGAAACUUACUCAUAUUAUGGGCCUCUGAAUUUACUUACCUUCAAUGUGGGUUAUCAUAAUGAACAUCAUGACUUCCCCAACAUUCCUGGAAAAAGUCUUCCACUGAUAUGGGGUUUCCUGGAUGGGUGCAGUGGCUCACACCUGGAAUACCAGCACUUUGAGAGGCCUAGGUGAGGAAAAUAGCAGCUGAAUACUAUGACAACCUUCCUCACUACAAUUCCUGGAUAAAAGUACUGUAUGAUUUUGUGAUGGAUGAUACAAUAAGUCCCUACUCAAGAA
rnacentral:sRNA from 1 species